CAGGGACAUAUAGGAAGGGAUUCAGUCAGAGGUACGUUGUAGACCUCUGUUGACAGGGACAUAUAGGAAGGGAUUCAGUCAGAGGUACGUUGUAGACCUCUGUUGACAGGGACAUAUAGGUCUGGAUUCAGUCAGAGGUACGUUGUAGACCUCUGUUGACAGGGACAUAUAGGAAGGGAUUCAGUCAGAGGUACGUUGUAGACCUCUGUUGACAGGGACAUAUAGGAAGGGAUUCAGUCAGAGGUACGUUGUAGACCUCUGUUGACAGGGACAUAUAGGUCUGGGAUUCAGUCAGAGGUACGUUGUAGACCUCUGUUGACAGGGACAUAUAGGUCUGGAUUCAGUCAGAGGUACGUUGUAGACCUCUGUUGACAGGGACAUAUAGGUCUGGAUUCAGUCAGAGGUACGUUGUAGACCUCUGUUGACAGGGAC
ensembl:lncRNA